rnacentral:rRNA from 1 species
AAUUACCCACUCCCAGCACGGGGAGGUAGUGACGAAAAAUAACGAUACGGGACUCAUCCGAGGCCCCGUAAUCGGAAUGAGUACAAUUUAAAACUUUUCCCGAGGAUCAAUUGGAGGGUAAGUCUGGUGCCAGCAGCCGCGGUAAUUCCAGCUCCAAUAGCGUAUAUUAAAGUUGUUGCGGUUAAAAAGCUCGUAGUCGAAUCUGUGUCCCGCGCCGCUGGUUCAUCGCUCGCGGUGUUCAACUGGCGUGUCUCGCGGGACGUCCUGCCGGUGGGCGCUCGUAUCGUUUCGGCGGUGCGUGGCCCAACUCGUAGCCGUCUCGCGCGGUUGCGAAUCCCAUCGCGGUGCUCUUUAUUGAGUGUCGAGGUGGGCCGGCACGUUUACUUUGAACAAAUUAGAGUGCUUAAAGCAGGCCAAUUUUGCCUGAAUAUUGUGUGCAUGGAAUAAUGAAAUAGGACCUCGGUUCUAUUUUGUUGGUUUUCGGAACCCCGAGGUAAUGAUUAAUAGGAACGGAUGGGGGCAUUCGUAUUGCGACGUUAGAGGUGAAAUUCUUGGAUCGUCGCAAGACGGACAGAAGCGAAAGCAUUUGCCAAAAACGUUUUCAUUGAUCAAGAACGAAAGUUAGAGGUUCGAAGGCGAUCAGAUACCGCCCUAGUUCUAACCAUAAACGAUGCCAGCUAGCGAUCCGCCGACGUUCCUCCGAUGACUCGGCGGGCAGCUUCCGGGAAACCAAAGCUUUUGGGUUCCGGGGGAAGUAUGGUUGCAAAGCUGAAACUUAAAGGAAUUGACGGAAGGGCACCACCAGGAGUGGAGCCUGCGGCUUAAUUUGACUCAACACGGGACACCUCACCAGGCCCGGACACCGGAAGGAUUGACAGAUUGAUANCUCUUUCUUGAUUCGGUGGGUGGUGGUGCAUGGCCGUU